rnacentral:misc_RNA from 1 species
AACGCACAUUGCGCCCGCCAGUAUUCUGGCGGGCAUGCCUGUUCGAGCGUCAUUUCAACCAUCAAGCCCCGUGCUUGUGUUGGGGACCUGCGGCUGCCGCAGGCCCUUAAAGACAGUGGCGGGCUCGCUAGUCACACCGAGCGUAGUAGUAUUAUCUCGCUCAGGGCGUGCUGCGGGUUCCGGCCGUUAAACCCCCUUUACCCCAAGGUUGACCUCGGAUCAGGUAGGAAGACCCGCUGAACUUAA